rnacentral:lncRNA from 1 species
UGCAGACCAAGAAGAAUUCCGAUCAGGACCUCCGGCCUUACGGGAUCUUGCAGAACAUACUUCUGGGACUUGCCGAGGUGUUGAAAGCUUCCGUGCGGGAGUUUCCACGCGAGAUGAAACUGGAGAUAGUGUUAAGUUAGCAGCAAGCUCACAACCGGGUGAGUUAGUUCUCUUUCAUACCUGGAACUGAUGCGGUCGGCACUGCAGGUAGUGAAGGCGUGGUUUUGGAAGCAUCGUCGUGGCCUGGGAACAAAGACAAGAAGUUAGCCGCAGGAGUCAUCACAGGAGUGAGUGCCUUGGUCUCCUUACCUCUCGCUUCUAGUUUCUGUGCUACAACACCACGACUUACAGGCGUCGUCCUGCAGAACAUGGAAGAGGAAGAGGAGGAGGCAAGGAAGGCUGCAUUCCAUACAGU